rfam:Mycobacterium avium subsp. paratuberculosis str. k10, complete genome.
CCGUGAUCGACAACGCGAUGACCAAAAAGCCGCAGGUCGUCCAGAUCGAUCCGGGCGACAAAUCGUUCAAGACGUCGGGUUGUCAGCCCUGGCAGCUGACCCCGGACGCGGUUCCGCCGCCCAGCGCCCCGCCCGCCGGGGUGCAGGGCACGCUCGGCAUUCUCAACGGCCUGCUGGGGGGAGCCGGACAGCAGGCC